ensembl:snoRNA small nucleolar SNORD12/SNORD106
UUUGGUGUUGAUGAUGACUGACUUUUUUCCCCAGCAGAUCGACCCUGUUGACUGCCAGUAUUUUUAAGCCAUAUCUGUCUGAUUCACCAAA